UUUUUUUUCCAGAUAACCUCCGUCUCUUACUCUCCCUCUGUUUCUUGUUCUUUUUUCCUUGUUUUUUAUUUAUUGAGCAAAGAACAUGGCUAUUCCUUGUCCUCCCCUUCUUGGAUCAGAAAAGCUGUCCAUCGAGGGAGGCCCUUUGUCUCCUCUCUCCUCACCACCCCAAGUAGUCCUCACCCAAGACGAGCUUAAAAAGAUUGCUGCUUACAAAGCCGUCGAUUUUGUCCAGUC
rnacentral:misc_RNA from 1 species